UUUUAUAUAUAUAGAAUCAUAUUCUAUAAAUAAAGAUAAUUUGACUUCUUUUCCUAUUUUUAUUUCCUCUACUUUAUUUCCUUAUCUUAUUUCUUUAGCUAAGACUUCAAACACUCUAUAUUACACGGGAAUAUUCUUUUUAGGUAUCUGUUACAUCCACUUGAUUUAUGAUGUCAUUUAACUCUAGUUUCUCUGUUUGGUUUUUGUCUGGAUGGCCUGUCUAUUGGUGAGAGUAGAGUAUUGAAGUUACACACUCUCACUUGUGUUGGAGUGAAUCUAUGAUUCCAUAUUUAUUUAUUUUGAGACCGAGUCACACUAUGUAUCCCUGACUGUCCUGGAACUCACUGUGCAGACCAGGCUGACUUUGAACUCACACCUGCCUUUCAACUCCUGGGAUUAAAGGUAUGCACCACCAUACCCCACUCAAUGUAUGCCAUUAGAUCCAAUAAUGUUUUUUUAUGAAAAUGGAUGCUCCCCGUGUUGGUGUGUAAAUGCUAAUGUAAUAUCCACUGUGUGGAUUUUCCAUUUAACAAAUAUGGAAUGUCCUUCCCUUUCUCUUGUUACUAGUUUUGGUCUAUUGUGUCAGAUAUUAGAAUAGCUACACCUUUUUUUUUCUCAUUUCCUUGUGUUUUAGGAUUACUAUUGCUGUGAUCAAACACCAUGACCAAGGCAACUCUUAAAAAGGAAGCAUUUAAAAGGGGCCUUACAGUUUUAGAAGGUUAGUCCACGAUCACUGUGGCAGGAGGCAUGGUAGCAUGCAAGCAGGCAAUGAUGCUGGAGAGGGAGCUGAGAGCUUUGCAUUCCGAUCUACCUGCAGCAGGCAGAGAAGGCAACACUGGGCUUGGUGUGAGUUUUUGAAAUCUCAAAGUGCACUCUCAUUAAAAUAUCUCCUCCAAGUAGACACCAGGAAAUAACCACAUUGAGGGCUGAAAUCAAUGAAAUAGAAACAAAGAAAACAAUACGAAGAGUCAAUGAAACAAAGAGUUGGUACUUCAAGAAAAUCAACAGGAUAGACAAACCUUUAUCCAAACUAACCAAAAAACAGAGAGAGAACAUACAAAUUAACAAAAUCAGAAAUGAAAAGGGGGACAUAGUAACAGACACUGAGGAAAUCCAGAGAAUCAUCAGGUCAUACUUUGAAAACCUGUAUUCCACAAAAUUUGAAAAUUUAAAGGAAAUAGAAAAUUUUCUGGAUAGAUAUCAUUUACCAAAAUUAAACAAAGAACAUAUGGGGUCAUUUUCAUCCAAACCAACAAACCUUGGAUACCUUUCUCCACCCUCUUACUCUAAGGUGUUGUUUAUUAUUUAUGGUGAAGUGUGUUUUGUGGAAGCAGCAAAACGAUGAAUCAUGUUUUCUCAAUCAGUCUCUUAGUCUGUGUCUUUUUAUUGGGGGAAUUGAGACCAUUAAUAUUAAUAUGGAGAGUUAUUAUCGAGUGGUGGUGUUUCUUAGACUUCUUUUAAACAAAACCAUUCUGGGAUUAUAUAUUCUUGGGUCCUCUUUGUUAAAUUUAAUCUUCUCUUUAGACCUAAAUAUUCCUCCUAAUAUCCUCUAUGGAGCUGGAUUUUUUAGACAUAAAUUUCUUAAGUCUGUUUUGAUUAUGAAGUUUCUCUUCCUCCUUUGAUUAUGACAUAGUUUUAUUUGCUAUAUUGUUUGAGCUGGCAUCUGUGGUCUUUCAGAACUUGUAAAACAUCAGCUUCCAAAAUUCCCAUCAAAAGUCAGGUGUCAUUCUGAUAUACCUGCCUUUGUAAUGUGACUUGGUCUUCUCUGUAGUCACUCUCAAUUUUCCUUCAAAAACCAAAAAUAGAACUGCCAUAUGAUCCAGCUAUACUACUUCUGGAUAUAUAGCAAAGGAUUCUAACUAAACACAGAGGAAGAUACCUGUACAUCCAUGUUUAUUGAGGCACUAUUAAAGAUAACUAAAAAAAUGGAACCAGCCUGGUGCCCAUAAAAAGAUGAUUGGGUAAAUAAAAUGCAGUACACAUGCACAAAGAUAAUUUCUUCAGUCAUAAAGAGAAAUGAAGCCAUGAGUUUUUCAGGAAAAUAGAUGGAACUGGGAUCAUUAUAUUAAGAGAAAUAAGACAAACUUGGGCAAAUAUUGAAUAUUUCCUCUCAUAUGUAGAAUCUGUAUGUGUGCAUACGUAGAUCAUGAAAGUAGAAAUGGGACCAUGAGGCCGUGAAGGGGUCUUACGGGAGGAUAGAAGACAAUGAAGAUAAAGUAAUGAGUUUUAUGUGAUGUGAAAGUAGAGAGGCUACUACCCAGAAGAAAAAGGUCACCAGCCAGAGGGGGCAGGGAGCUGGGUGACAGCAGUGAGUGAGAAAUCAGGACAAAGUAUCAUGACACAGGUUUCAAAAUGUUGAAACUCGCUCUGUAGACCAGACUGACCCUAACCUCACAGGGUUCCGCCUGCCUCUGCCUCCUGAGUGCUGAGGUUAAGGGUGUGCACCACUACCCCACAGCCAAAAGCUAGUUAUCUUAAAAGUAGGAAAAACUUUGAACUGUAGUAACUGUGGCAAGUUUUGGUGAUGACUGUUUCUAGUACUGCUGGCUUUGUUUCUCUGAGAACAUAUUGUCAAGCUAGAAUAUGGAGUAUAAAAUUGUUGGCUAUGUCCCUCAAUGAGCCAAGUUAUUAGCUGUGCUUCUGGGAGGUGAAAGUCUUCAUGAGUAAGAGCCAAUUUCAGAUGCUUAUUUUCAAGACAGAAUUGCUAGCCACAACAGGUAAAGAACCAUGAACCAUUAUUUUACUGCUGAAGUGUAGAAUUUCCUGUGUUUUGUUUCCAUUGUCACUUGAACUGACGAAGAGCACGCCACCCACAAUUUAAUGUGUACAUGUGGACAAACGUGCCACAUGUGAUUUAGUGUGAUGGCUGGAAAGAUAAGAUGCAGAGUGGCAACCAGCCAGAGAGCAUAGAGUAAAAUUUGUUCUUUUCAAUGGAGAAAGAACCCUCUUAGAUUCCCUUAAUGAGGGCUUCAGUUCAAAAUAAGAGGCAGCCAGGUCAGUGGGAGGCAAGAGAGAGGGCAAGGAGCAAGGCAGGCAUGGCUAGAGCACCGUGGUUAAUAGCGUGAGUGAUGACAGGUUUGCACUAGGUCAAUAAUUCACCCUGAGUCAUGAAUGUUGUUAGAUGCUGAGUGUACGGAUGUGUGUGUGUGAUUGUGUCUAUGUGUCUCUCUGUGUGUAUGUCUGUCUAUGUCUGUGUCUAUGUGUGUAUGUGUAUGUCUGUAUGUGUAUAUGUAUAUAUGUGUAUGUGUCUGUGUGUAUAUGUGUGUGUCUGUGUCUGUGUGUGUAUGUGUCUGUGUGUCUGUGUCUGUGUGUGUAUGUGUGUAUGUGUGUGUCUGUGGUGUGUGUGUGUGUGUGUGUCUGUGUGUCUGUGUCUGUGUGUGUAUGUGUGUAUGUGUGUGUCUGUGGUGUGUGUGUGUGUGUGUCUGUGUGUGUAUCUCUGUGUGUGUAAGGACAGGGAGAUUAGACGUGUCUAUGCUGGUUUCCAUUCAACUGGCAAUACAUUCCUGGUGGAAGAAAUUAGCCCCCACGGGCAAAGAAGGAAAUAGGUAUAAAACACCUGGGUUCACCCAUUUAACAAGAGUCUUUGGAUCCAUAUUUGAGAAUAGCAUUGCCACCGUGAGGCACAUCAGAUGUCAUUACUGAAAGCACCUAAAUCCCUUCCCAAUUAUUGAGAUGUUAACACCAUAUGCAAUUUUUUCCUUGAGAUCAAGAUGUUACACUUCAACUUCCUUGGAAUCUCUGGGGCAUCUGUGGAAAUUAAUUGCCUCUUAGACUUGGGUCCUUUGGGUUUGUGAUUGUGAGUUUGGAAGGCAGAAGCAACAGUGAGUCUCAAUUAAGGAAAUAUUUGCUGCAAAUAUAUAGCUUCAGGGUUUUCUGUUUGUUCUUUGGCAAAACUAAUCCAGCUGGCAUCUGGGGUUUUACUCUGAUAAACUCAUUAUAGAUUGUAGAUAUUGUAAGAAAAUGCAUUUAAUAUACCUACCCUGUCUAUUUUAGCAACGUACUGUGCUUCAGAAUGUCAGUUGUUUUGUAAUAAUCAAAUGGACUGAAUUGCCUAACACCAUGAGAGAAUAUUGUGUCACAUACUGCAAGCCUGGGAAAGUUGAAAGUUCUAAAUCUGUUUUUUUUUUUUUUUUAAUGCAUAUCACUUGGCACCACUAUGAAUGGGUCAAGACUUGUAAGUCAAACCAUGACACAUUAGGGGAACCUCUGUAGUGGAAAACAUUGGCUCACUAUGUUUUGAUGGCUUCCUGAGAUCUGCAAAACCAGCAAAUAUGAGCCAGACAGUGGUGCUACAUGCCUUUGAUCCCAGCAGUGAGGAGACAGAAACAGGCAGAUGUUGGAGUUUAAGGCAAGCCUGAUCUGUAGAGUGAGUUUCAGGACAGCCAGGGCUAUACAGACAGACCUAUAUUAAGGUCCAAGAACUUCUGGAAAUGGGGCCCUAACAGUCUUUUCAUUUUUGCUGUGAGACCUUAUUAUCUGUAUGAAAAUUUUAACCUGAACUGUAAUCUAGAGAACACUGUUACUGCCUUUUUCUCAUGGGUUUCUCUUUAGUCCUGACUCAGCACUGAUCAUGUACUGUCUCUUAUCAUCCAAAUACUUAGUAUUUUGUAUGCCAUGUAUUAUGUAUCUUACAUAAAUGUACCCUGUAUAUGAGGUAUUGGUACCCCCCAAAAGCAUCUCUUUGGACAUUGUAGCACUACUGGGGAUUAGAGAAGAAAACUGAGUAGGUUAUAAUGGAGCAGUUACUGCCAUGGGGUGAAGGCCAAUGCAAACAGAAAGAACUUCUGUCUUAGUAGAAGUUACAAAAUCAUCAAUUCUUCCCUAGAUUUAUUACAACUAACCUUCCAGCCAAAGGCUAGAACUAUUGGAUGAAUUUGAUCCCAUGCAUAUAUCUUAAACAGAGAAGGAAUUCAAACAAGAAUACAGAAUAAAAUAUGCCCCUUGAUGUUAUCUUUUCUAGUUGGUAUUUCCUGUUAUUCUAAGGUAAGAGAAGUAAGCAUUUUAAAGUAUUAUCAUGAACUUAGCCAUUCGCAUUAGUGCUGUGCUCUCAUAGGUAGUAGCAGUCAAAUUACUCUUUUUGAAAGUUGUGUCCCAUCCCCUUUGGCAACUGCCUCACGCUAGCCUGAAAAUGUCAUAAGAUGGCUAGAAGAGAAAGAUACCGCCUCUCUGAGCACCUGGGCCUAAUGACAUUGACCUAGCAAACUCCAGGUGCUAGGCCUGAGAGCAUUUGGAGGACAGAUAAAGACCUUCACAGGCUGUGUGACCUGCCUACCACGCAGGGCAGGUUUCACUUUGAAUAAGUUGCCAAGAUGCUGAAUUGUGCCUAUGCUAGAAGCCCAAUCUGGGGAAAUCAAACCGGGCAGGGCCCAUUCCCAUGAGCCCAUGCCCCAGCUUAACAAACAGGAGGACUCCAGGGAUCUCUAAGCCUCUAACUUGUAGGUAGAAUUGGCCCCUGGAUCAGAAAUAGCAUCCCCUCCCUGAGGAUGAGCACAAAUGUCCCCACACAAAUGAAUUGAAAAUAUCUGUGCUUUCCCUAUUGGGCUUGUCUCCUUGACAUGCCAAGAGGAGAGAGCUUAGUGACUCUGAGACUACCUGCUGAAAAUGACAGGAAAUUGGACAUGGUAGUUCAUGUUAUUAGAGACCAAGGAAGGGGGCUCUCCCAUGGUUCAAGGUCAGCUUGGUUCAUAGCUACAUAGUUAAUUCUAGGCUGUCCUGCACUAUCCAAGUCUCCAUCUACCAAAACUGAAAAGUUCCAGGAGACUGCGGAUCUUGUUAUGAGGUAUUCAAAUCAAUGUGUGUUUUCACCCACCUCUUCCUCUUUCCCUCAUCAUAAAUGAAUUUCCUAGUAUGGAAAAACAUAAAAGAGAAUGCAAAAAUUUCAAACUGUGAGUUGCUCCUGUCUAGACUAAAUCUUUGGUUUUAGUUGCUCUUUGGUGGGAGAGGAUAUAGAACAGGAAGGCAUAGGAGGUUUCACUUGUCACUGGAAAAGAAAUAUAAGAACUUCAUUUUUGUUUGUCAUGUCAUUCGAUCUUGCUAAUUAAUCUGUGAGAAUGUCUUUAUUGCUGUUUUUUCUCUAAGGCAGAACAUCAGGGCUAAGAAAGGUUUGUUCAAGUUAUGCCCUGACAGAGCCAGUUUGAUCAGGUCUGCCUGUCUGCCAGACUGCUGGUGUCCUUGGGGGAAACACUCUUGUUUCCUGUAGCCGGCUCUAGUCUUCUCCAAUGGUCUAAGCACUAAGCACCUAAAGAAGUGAUUCUCUACCUUGUCAAUGCAGCUACCCUUUCAUACAGUUCUUCAUGUUGUGCUGACCCCCAACCAUAGCAUUAUUUUCAUUGCUACUUCCUAACUGUAAUUUUGCUACUGUUAUGAAUCAUAUGUAAAUAUCUGAUGUGCAGGAUAGCUGAUAUGUGACCCACAAGUUGAGAACCACUGACCUAAAUAGAUGAUUUACCCAACAACUUGGCCACACCGGGUUAGAAACAUCUUCUAACAGUGAAGCAAGUAUGAAAGAGAACAGAGGGGGAGGGGAUUAGAAAUGGCUGGCUUUCCUGUGGGGAAGCCAGGAAGCUAAAUGUCCUCAUCUUGGUACCUUAAUUGGUACCCUGAACCUAGCUGUGUGUGAAAGAAAAGGAGGCAGACAGCAUUGGACCAUUUGGAUUUGUUCUGCCUGGCUUUCCAGCAUAGGUAUGGAUUAGGAAGAUUGGUUCCUUAAUUCUAGAUUGAAUCUCUUGAAAAGCAAAGACAGAAGGAAUGCCCUUCUGUCUUCAGCCUUCUGAGGGUGCUGGUGGUAUCACUGCGUAACUGCAUCUCAGAAGAUCAUCUUAGACAAGAGGUGCUUCUAUGGUUUUCUUCUUCCUUGCCCAGGGCCCUCUACACCCUCCUAUCGAUGAACCUGUUUCCAGUAUCAAUUGUGAUCUUUUGAGUCAUUUUUUCUGUUCCGUGUGGCUAACUUACUGACUCAGAAAAGCUGGGCAGCCCUCUUUUCUCUGAAUGAUCUCAAGCUGAUUGUAUGAGGGCUUCUUUCUCUCCUUUCAUUGGAGAAUCAUUCUGGGUAGCCCUGGGGUUUUCCCCUUUUCGUGAAUUCUAGUUAUGAAUGGCUGCCCUGAAAGCAAGUGACUCAACACUCUUAUGUAUCGGAGCCAUGGGUGAGAAGUUCCAGAGACAUCAGCUGCCGCUCCGUGCCUGGAACCAGACACACACACACACACACACACACACACACACACACACACACCAUCUCCUCUGCUGCCGCCGCCCUUUUGCUUCUGUCAUCCAUAGCAUCAUGGUGCAGGGUUUUCAUUGAUACUUUUCAGAGUCAGAGAAUCACAAUUAGGACCUUACAGAUGUAUGUGGCACACACUCAAAUGCAUGUGACACAUCUAAACAGAGUCACUGGAGCCAAGUUCAUUUAAAAAACACUUUUUUUUUGCUUGACAGUUUCAUGUAUUUGUAUAACUAACAAUCCUCUCUCUCAUAGCCCUCCCCCUCCCAUGCCACCCUCCUGACAAAGUCACCCUCCUACUUUUCACAUCUUCCUUUUGUGCGUGGAGCACUGAGUUUAAUAAGAGUCACUUGCCUGAGACACAGGCGAAAGGUUAUUUAGUAAACAAGGCCACUAGAGAAGGCCACCUCCUCAGGAGUUCUGUUUGGGGGCCUUCCUUCUUACUAAGGUUUUGUCACUGACCCAAAACCUUUUGCCAGGAGACAGAAAUUGUGGGUGUCAAAUCUUAGCUGGGUCAUGCAUGCAGCCUGGGCAUGACCCACAGGACAUGACAACAGGGCUAGAUGAGAUGAACACGGACAUGGGCACCUUAGAUCACUGUACUAUAGGACAGUUGAUGGCUGGGCUGCAGCUCAGGGGUAGAGCUUGUGCUUAGUGUGUGAGAGAUGCUGGGUUCAAUCCCUAGACUGAGAAAGAAACAAAAACUAGCUGAAUAGAAACUCGCCUUCUGGGCUCUGGUGGGGCCACCAGAGGCUGCUCUCUCUAAAAAGAAAGGGAAAAGACACUUCCAGCUCCCUUAAUUUCUGCCAGGCUUUGAAGUCACUGAUUAUUAGUGCUUUGAUCUUCAGAAAAUUAUUUAAAUUCCAUACCCUACCCUAGUUUUCUCAACUAUAAAUUGGAGAUAAUAAUAAUAGUUCUUACUGGCAGUUAGGGGAAAUUGAGAAGGUUCACUCACUCACACACACACACACACACACACACACACACACACUAAAUGAUAAUGAUUAGAAAUGGCUUGACUAAGCCUCUAGGUUGAGACAUUGCUGAAAUUCAGGUCAACUAGUACUGUCACAGCCUACCUGGGAGAUGAAAAACCCUAUGCCUUGACAGAUUAGCACUGGCCAUCAUGAAAAUGACCAUCUUGAACCAUGAAUGCUGCUCCACUAUGAUGCUCUGUAGUUGUGGUUGCUCCUGAAAGUAAGUUUGUAGGUCUGGGAUCCUGUCAUCCUUCUUUCCAGGCCUAUUUGUACUCAUUGAUAUUGAAGACUUAUCUUAUUGGAUGCCAGUGACAAGCAUCCUGUCUUCCCGGGCUCACAUGGUGACUCCACAGAGAGGAGGAGGAAGAGAGAAGUGAAGGACUUUCUUCUUGGCCUUGUUUAUAUAUGAGUCUCCCUGCUAUGUCACUUCCUG
rnacentral:lncRNA from 1 species